UACAGAGGCCCCAAGCGUUGUUCGGAUUCAUUGGGCGUAAAGGGUGUGUAGGUGGCGCCGUAAGUCGGGUGUGAAAUCUCGGGGCUUAACUCCGAAACUGCAUUCGAUACUGCGGUGCUUGAGGACUGGAGAGGAGACUGGAAUUCAUGGUGUAGCAGUGAAAUGCGUAGAGAUCAUGAGGAAGACCAGUGGCGAAGGCGGGUCUCUGGACAGUUCCUGACACUGAGGCACGAAGGCCAGGGGAGCAAACGGG
rnacentral:rRNA from 1 species